GAUGAAGAACGCAGCGAAAUGCGAUAAGUAGUGUGAAUUGCAGAAUUCAGUGAAUCAUCGAAUCUUUGUACGCACAUUGCGCCCCUUGGUAUCCCGAGGGGCAUGCCUGUUCGAGCGUCAUUUCACCACUCAAGCCUGGCUUGGUGUUGGGCGACGUCCUCUUUGGGGACGCGCCUCGAAACGCUCGGCGGCGUGGCACCGGCUUUAAGCGUAGCAGAAUCUUUCGCUUUGGAAGUCGGGGCCCCGUCUGCCGGAAGACCUGCUCGCAAGGUUGACCUCGGAUCAGGCAGGGAUACCCGCUGAACUUAAGCAUAUCAAUAAGCGGAGG
rnacentral:misc_RNA from 1 species